rnacentral:tRNA from 1 species
CCUGAUGGUCUAGUGGUUAAGAUUCAGCACUCUCACUGCUGCAGCCAGGCUUCAUUUUCCUAUCAGG